GCCAACUCCCUCGCUCGCUCCUGCAGCCGCCUCCCUCUCACUCGCUCGCUCCUCAUCCGGCGAGACAAGCCUUCUCCUCUCCCGCAACUCCAGUACGCCGCCGCGCCCCUUCCCCUCUCCCACCGCCGUCGAGACGCGCACCCACCGCGGCCAUUGCCCUCUCCCACCGCCGCUCCUCCUUCCGCCCCAACACAUAGCUAGCGGAUUCGACCCGUCUCCCUCCCCGUCCGACCUCCACCGAGCCGCUCCCACGGCGACCGAGCUGCCGUCCCUCUCUCCCUCCGCACGCACGGAACCCUAGCCCGCGGCCAUGGCAGGAGCUGCAGCACGGGCCUCUCCUCCAACACCUCGACAAUGGAGGAGCCAUGACCCCACCACCGUCGCCCCCGUCAUGCCGCCGCUCCUCCUGCUCCUCCUCGCCGCCCUCGCGCUCGCCCUCGCCCUCGCCCCGGCCCUCCCCCACGCCGCCGCCGGAGGGGGCGCCAGGUUCUACGACCCGGCGCGGGUCACCCAGAUCUCAUGGCGCCCCAGGGCGUUCCUGUACAGCGGCUUCCUCUCGCACGCCGAGUGCGACCACCUCAUCAAGCUGGCCAAGGGGAGGCUGGAGAAGUCGAUGGUGGCCGACAAUGAGUCCGGGAAGAGUGUCAUGAGCCAGGUGCGCACAAGCUCCGGCACCUUCUUGUCCAAGCGCGAGGAUGAAAUUAUCUCUGGAAUUGAAAAGUGUGUAGCUGCUUGGACGUUUCUCCCUGAAGAAAAUGCCGAGUCGAUGCAGGUUCUGCAUUAUGAAGUUGGUCAGAAGUAUGAUGCCCACUUCAAUUAUUUUAGUGACAAAAAGAACGUGAAGCGUGGUGGUCAUCGAGUUGCCACUGUUCUUAUGUACCUGACAGAUGUGAAGAAGGGUGGAGAGACUGUGUUCCCAGUUGCUGAGGGAAGAGAUUUACAACAUAAGGAUGAAACGUGGUCGGAGUGCGCGAGACAUGGCCUGGCAGUGACCUGCUUGCUGAAUAGUAACAUGGAGACCACCCUGACUGGCCACGAUUCGUCUCGUCUUCCUCCCCGGCAAGCAAAGGCAUAGCAGCAUCUCCAACCCCUUCCUGACAAGCUGCAGGUCUUAAACGAGGUCCCAGCCGAGGAGAUUAUAGCUAAGGAAAAAAAGAUCUGGAAGAUAGAGCAGUUUGACUACAACCAUGACGCUGGUGACUGCCCCUUCCUUGGUUCUGGUGACUGGUGAGGCACUUGCCUUUCCCGUCAAAGGGAAAUUAAAAAGAGUAAAGAUGUUAUUUACAAGACAAAAAGGCCUGAAGCAAAGGACGGAGAGUAUAUCUCAACAAUAAGUAAUUAAACAUGGUAAGUAAUUCAUCACGCCCUCGGAAUUUUUUGUUGAGCAGAGAUGUCCUAGAGGUAUAUUCUUCUAUUCUAGAUCCAGAUGUAACUCUGUUUUUAAUUCUUGGGAAAGUAAACAUGUUUGGAUGCUCCCAGCCUGCUUUAGAAUACCCUCGGAAUUUUUUGUUGAGCAGAGCUGUCCUAGAGGUAUAUUCUUCUAUUCUAGAUCCAGAUGCAACUCUGUUUUUAAUUCUUGGGAAAGUAAACAUGUUUGGAUGAUCCCAGCCUGCUUUAGAAUAUACUUUAUGUGCUGUCGUAUAACUAUAGGUACUACACUAGCAAAUAUGCCCGUGCGUUGCAACGGGAGACAAAAAAUUAUGGCUAACCAACUAAGUAUGACUCAAUAUUCUAAUAUAUGAGCGUACUCUAUUUUAACAGAGUGGCUCACCAUGUUGCCAUUCUCAUCCUAGCCGAUGAUGGUCGCGAUGUCUACGUGAUCACAAUGCAUUCGAUGCAGUAAAUCCCAAGGCUAUGAGUUUGCCAGUGCAUACCACACUUGUCAUUAUGUUGCGCAAGGAAACGUUUAGAACUUUAAAAACAAAUCUCAUUGACCACAAACUACUCCCAACGCCAAGACAUAUAAAGACUUCCGAAAAACUAAUCAAAUCCUAGACAUAAAAUACUUUUGAAUCAGUGAACAGUUUUUUGAAUCGACAAACAUUUUUUUUGAAAUUUUUGAUUUUCUCAAAAUCAUGAACAUUAGUGUUUUUACAAAAAAAUAUGUACAAACCGGUUUCGAAUUCAUUAACAGUUUUUGAACCAACGAAUAUUUUAUGAAUCGAUGAUUUUUUUUCAAAAUUGGGAACAAAUUUGAAAAACAAAUGUUUAUUUUUAUUUUUGUGAACAUUUUUUUUCGGGAAUUUGUGAACAUUUUCUAAAUUGUCAUGAACAUUUUUUUCAGAUUCCCGAAUAUGAACAUGAUUUAUUUCCCGACCAUUUUUUCCAAAUUGUGAUUUAUUUAUAAUUUUGCGAACAGUUUUACAAAAUCACCAACAUUUUUGGAAUCUGCAAAUUUUUUAUGAUUUUCAAUUUUUUUUGAAUUCACAUAUAUUUUAUGAUUUCUCAAAAUUGUUUUUUGAAAAAUCGCAACUUUUAGAAUAUUAAAAUCCCAAAUUAAUUGAAAGAAGAAAGAAAACAGAAUGAGAAAAGAAAAUACAAAAAAAUAAAAUAAAACAAACAGGACAGUGAAGCCCCGCACAUGGGCUGGCCCAUGAACGCAUACAUGCGUGAGAAAAGAAAGAUGUAAAUUGUGGAGGCUGGGGAUCGAACCGUGCUCUAGUCGCUAGAGGAGAGAUCCACCAACCAGUCUGCUGCUUAUCGUUUCGUGACUUCUACUCAUCGCGGCUCUGUAAAAUAACAAAGGAGGCGGCGACUUUUGGUCCGAAAAAUUGAAUCGUUUUCUCACUCACGGGUGGCAUUGGUGGGUAAUAUUUACCAACUUAGAGGGUAAUUUUAAUGACGGACGACCAGAAGCGAUAGCCGCUUUAUUAUUAGGUAAAGAUUUGCAGAAGCCCUGUAAGAUGUAUAGUUUAGUGGCUCUAAUUCAUUCUGAGAUAUUCAGCGUGCCCCUUGGUCACUUGUUUCUCACUAUUCUAACAACGUGCGUAAUUUUCUUGCUAAAAUCAUUUCGUUGUCUAGCUCUGUUCAUGCCUAUAUGUUAUUAUAGCUUCAUUUUACCAUGAGAUUCUAAAGAUUUACUACAUUCUUACUGCGUACCCAUCCUAAGGCUUUCCUGCUCGUUAUUCCAGACUGCAUUUAUACGUAAGCAAAGAGAACACAUAAUCAAUUUAUAUCUCACUAUGGUUGUGACUUUUCAGCCAGUGUUUUAAUUUUUUCCCGAUAUUCUUGCUUAUUAGAUUAUGUUGGGCAACUAUAGUAUAUGUUGUGCCUGAGAUAGCAAAACCUGUUUCAUUUCGACUAUUUCUGCAUGUAGAAGAUUCUUGCGCCUCUAUUUACUGCAGGUUGCUUGCUGCCCUCUCAUCUUCAUCUUGUUAUUUGGUUGCUGCUAUUCUGACUAUGCUGAUUUACUACCUUCUGAUCUUCUCAAUACUCAGUCACGUUCCUUUCUGAAAAUCUUUAGAAUAUGUGUUGAUCCCUACGGAUUAUGUUGGAUUAGGUUCCUAUGUGCCUAUGCUUUUUGUUUUGCCUUUGGCCAAUUGGUUUUUAUCCAUUAUAUGAAUAUUUUGUGUCUUUGUGGUGAAAAAAACCUAACAACAACAUUUAGACUUCUACUUAUAUUCAAUAGCUUAUUAGUUUCUUCUGAUUCGAAUUCUCACCUGACUUUUGUGCUGCUCAGAAAUUAUAUGGGUACAGAGCUCUACCCACAAACCUGGAUUCAAGUGAUUGGUGGCGGGUUCUAGGUUCAAUGGACAAAUCUAUCUAUAAAAAAUAGUUAACUAUAUAGUGUACUCAUAUGCUUUGUUAAAGCAGUGUGUUGGUUAUAGUGAACAAUCUUUGUAGCUUUUUUUUUGUAAAACGUACUAAACCCUGAUGUGUUUAGUAUAAAAAAUUGCAUCAUUGGCAUGUAAUGUAUGGAUAAUUUUGUUCUCCUAACCUAUCAGAUAUGAAGCACGUCUUGCCAGGUUGGAUGUAGCUGGGGGCAGUAGGUGUGCAGCAAGCUUCAAUUCCAAUUUUUAUUGGGUCAUAUGUAAUGCUUUGGUGUGUUAUACUGCACUGAAACUAUAUCACUUGUUUUAGUUGCUUUGCUUUAGUUGCUUUGCUUUUGGAGGCUCCAUCAGAAUAGAGUGCAGGCUUUUGCUUGUCCUAAUCAAACAUCAGCGUAUUGAUUACUAUCUUGAAGAUGAGUUUUUCUCAUACAAUGGAAGAUGGAUUUAUAAUAGAACUGAAUGUGCAAAUGAAAAUUUUUAUCAGGUGAGCUAACUUUGCCCAUGACUAUUGAGCUAUAACAUAAAUGAGGUCUUUGCAACCGGUGGCUUUCUUCAAACAAGCACAAGAGCACAAGGAUCAUGGCGUGUAAGGAGUCAAGCAACGAGAUGACCCAGUCAAACUAUCAAGUAUUAUAGUUUAGCAUAACUAACCAGGUUCUUUAUCUCGCAACGCCUCGCAAGCUCACUUGAGCUAUGUCAUGACCCAACUAUUGUAUCUGUUUAGUUGUGAUCCAUUGUCUUGGCUUACUUUUGGACUAUAUAAUGACUCAUCGUGUUGGUUUACUUUUGCCAAAAAUGCUGCUUUGUUUUUGGUAUGAUUGAUUGCACUGCCCAUUGGCAUUACUUGAACUUAUGUUAUGUAUUGGUCACAAUUAUGUUAUAAAGGCAAUGCCAUACUUUUGAUGUAAA